rnacentral:rRNA from 1 species
ACGCUCGACACCUACUGGAGGCAGCAGUGGGGAAUAUUGCACAAUGGGGGAAACCCUGAUGCAGCGACGCCGCGUGAAGGAUGAAGUAUUUCGGUAUGUAAACUUCUAUCAGCAGGGAAGAAAGUGACGGUACCUGACUAAGAAGCCCCGGCUAACUACGUGCCAGCAGCCGCGGUAAUCUGAGCGGCUGGCAAGGC